CGUGCAUUUAUCAGACCAAAAACCGGCCGCGUCUUCGGGCGCGUUCGCCUUGGUGACUCUGGAUAACUUUGCGGAUCGCACGGUCUAGCACCGGCGACGGAUCAUUCAAGUGUCUGCCCUAUCAACUUUCGUCGGUACGGUAUUUGCCUACCGAGGUUCUUACGGGUGACGGGGAAUCAGGGUUCGAUUCCGGAGAGGGAGCCUGAGAAACGGCUACCACAUCCAAGGAAGGCAGCAGGCGCGCAAAUUACCCAUUCCCGACGCGGGGAGGUAGUGACGAAAAAUAACAAUGCAGGACUCGUUCGAGGCCCUGUAAUUGGAAUGAGUACACUUUAAAAGCUUUAACGAGUAUCCAUUGGAGGGCAAGUCUGGUGCCAGCAGCCGCGGUAAUUCCAGCUCCAAAAGUAUAUAUUUAAGUUGUUGCGGUUAAAAAGCUCGUAGUUGGAUUUUGGGCGCAGGCGGCCGGUCCGUCGCAAGGCGUGUACUGGACGUCCUGGCCUUCCCUCCGGUUCUCCGCCGGUGCUCUUGACUGAGUGUCGGCGGCGGCCGGAACGUUUACUUUGAAAAAAUUAGAGUGUUCAAAGCAGGCUCUCGAGCCUGGAUAAUGGUGCAUGGAAUAAUGGAAUAGGACCUCGGUUCUAUGGGAUGGUUUUCGGAGCGCGAGGUAAUGAUGAAGAG
rnacentral:ncRNA from 1 species